CACAGUGACACUUAAUGGUUGAUUUGUGAAUUUAUUUUGAAGAGCGGUAGAGUUCUUCGCGUAUUUCACGUUGGGCAUUUCCUGUUUUGCUAACCACGACGAGUGAGCGUUAGAGCCUGAGGAAAAAGUAAAGAAAAUCUAAAAUAGCGCUCUUGGAAAGCAGAACGAGUUUUCACGGUGUCUGACAAGAAAGGUUAAUAAAGAAACUGCACCCGUUUG